rnacentral:rRNA from 1 species
UACGAAGGGGGCUAGCGUUGCUCGGAAUCACUGGGCGUAAAGCGCACGUAGGCGGCUUUUUAAGUCAGGGGUGAAAUCCUGGAGCUCAACUCCAGAACUGCCUUUGAUACUGAGAAGCUUGAGUCCGGGAGAGGUGAGUGGAACUGCGAGUGUAGAGGUGAAAUUCGUAGAUAUUCGCAAGAACACCAGUGGCGAAGGCGGCUCACUGGCCCGAUACUGACGCUGAGGCACGAAAGCGUGGGGAGCAA